rnacentral:rRNA from 1 species
UUAAGCGACUAAGCGUACACGGUGGAUGCCCUGGCAGUCAGAGGCGAUGAAGGACGUGCUAAUCUGCGAUAAGCGUCGGUAAGGUGAUAUGAACCGUUAUAACCGGCGAUUUCCGAAUGGGGAAACCCAGUGUGUUUCGACACACUAUCAUUAACUGAAUCCAUAGGUUAAUGAGGCGAACCGGGGGAACUGAAACAUCUAAGUACCCCGAGGAAAAGAAAUCAACCGAGAUUCCCCCAGUAGCGGCGAGCGAACGGGGAGCAGCCCAGAGCCUGAAUCAGUGUGUGUGUUAGUGGAAGCGUCUGGAAAGGCGCGCGAUACAGGGUGACAGCCCCGUACACAAAAAUGCACAUGCUGUGAGCUCGAUGAGUAGGGCGGGACACGUGGUAUCCUGUCUGAAUAUGGGGGGACCAUCCUCCAAGGCUAAAUACUCCUGACUGACCGAUAGUGAACCAGUACCGUGAGGGAAAGGCGAAAAGAACCCCGGCGAGGGGAGUGAAAAAGAACCUGAAACCGUGUACGUACAAGCAGUGGGAGCACGCUUAGGCGUGUGACUGCGUACCUUUUGUAUAAUGGGUCAGCGACUUAUAUUCUGUAGCAAGGUUAACCGAAUAGGGGAGCCGAAGGGAAACCGAGUCUUAACUGGGCGUUAAGUUGCAGGGUAUAGACCCGAAACCCGGUGAUCUAGCCAUGGGCAGGUUGAAGGUUGGGUAACACUAACUGGAGGACCGAACCGACUAAUGUUGAAAAAUUAGCGGAUGACUUGUGGCUGGGGGUGAAAGGCCAAUCAAACCGGGAGAUAGCUGGUUCUCCCCGAAAGCUAUUUAGGUAGCGCCUCGUGAAUUCAUCUCCGGGGGUAGAGCACUGUUUCGGCAAGGGGGUCAUCCCGACUUACCAACCCGAUGCAAACUGCGAAUACCGGAGAAUGUUAUCACGGGAGACACACGGCGGGUGCUAACGUCCGUCGUGAAGAGGGAAACAACCCAGACCGCCAGCUAAGGUCCCAAAGUCAUGGUUAAGUGGGAAACGAUGUGGGAAGGCCCAGACAGCCAGGAUGUUGGCUUAGAAGCAGCCAUCAUUUAAAGAAAGCGUAAUAGCUCACUGGUCGAGUCGGCCUGCGCGGAAGAUGUAACGGGGCUAAACCAUGCACCGAAGCUGCGGCAGCGACGCUUAUGCGUUGUUGGGUAGGGGAGCGUUCUGUAAGCCUGCGAAGGUGUGCUGUGAGGCAUGCUGGAGGUAUCAGAAGUGCGAAUGCUGACAUAAGUAACGAUAAAGCGGGUGAAAAGCCCGCUCGCCGGAAGACCAAGGGUUCCUGUCCAACGUUAAUCGGGGCAGGGUGAGUCGACCCCUAAGGCGAGGCCGAAAGGCGUAGUCGAUGGGAAACAGGUUAAUAUUCCUGUACUUGGUGUUACUGCGAAGGGGGGACGGAGAAGGCUAUGUUGGCCGGGCGACGGUUGUCCCGGUUUAAGCGUGUAGGCUGGUUUUCCAGGCAAAUCCGGAAAAUCAAGGCUGAGGCGUGAUGACGAGGCACUACGGUGCUGAAGCAACAAAUGCCCUGCUUCCAGGAAAAGCCUCUAAGCAUCAGGUAACAUCAAAUCGUACCCCAAACCGACACAGGUGGUCAGGUAGAGAAUACCAAGGCGCUUGAGAGAACUCGGGUGAAGGAACUAGGCAAAAUGGUGCCGUAACUUCGGGAGAAGGCACGCUGAUAUGUAGGUGAAGCGACUUGCUCGUGGAGCUGAAAUCAGUCGAAGAUACCAGCUGGCUGCAACUGUUUAUUAAAAACACAGCACUGUGCAAACACGAAAGUGGACGUAUACGGUGUGACGCCUGCCCGGUGCCGGAAGGUUAAUUGAUGGGGUUAGCGCAAGCGAAGCUCUUGAUCGAAGCCCCGGUAAACGGCGGCCGUAACUAUAACGGUCCUAAGGUAGCGAAAUUCCUUGUCGGGUAAGUUCCGACCUGCACGAAUGGCGUAAUGAUGGCCAGGCUGUCUCCACCCGAGACUCAGUGAAAUUGAACUCGCUGUGAAGAUGCAGUGUACCCGCGGCAAGACGGAAAGACCCCGUGAACCUUUACUAUAGCUUGACACUGAACAUUGAGCCUUGAUGUGUAGGAUAGGUGGGAGGCUUNGAAGUGUGGACGCCAGUCUGCAUGGAGCCGACCUUGAAAUACCACCCUUUAAUGUUUGAUGUUCUAACGUUGACCCGUAAUCCGGGUUGCGGACAGUGUCUGGUGGGUAGUUUGACUGGGGCGGUCUCCUCCUAAAGAGUAACGGAGGAGCACGAAGGUUGGCUAAUCCUGGUCGGACAUCAGGAGGUUAGUGCAAUGGCAUAAGCCAGCUUGACUGCGAGCGUGACGGCGCGAGCAGGUGCGAAAGCAGGUCAUAGUGAUCCGGUGGUUCUGAAUGGAAGGGCCAUCGCUCAACGGAUAAAAGGUACUCCGGGGAUAACAGGCUGAUACCGCCCAAGAGUUCAUAUCGACGGCGGUGUUUGGCACCUCGAUGUCGGCUCAUCACAUCCUGGGGCUGAAGUAGGUCCCAAGGGUAUGGCUGUUCGCCAUUUAAAGUGGUACGCGAGCUGGGUUUAGAACGUCGUGAGACAGUUCGGUCCCUAUCUGCCGUGGGCGCUGGAGAACUGAGGGGGGCUGCUCCUAGUACGAGAGGACCGGAGUGGACGCAUCACUGGUGUUCGGGUUGUCAUGCCAAUGGCACUGCCCGGUAGCUAAAUGCGGAAGAGAUAAGUGCUGAAAGCAUCUAAGCACGAAACUUGCCCCGAGAUGAGUUCUCCCUGACNNNNNNNNNNNNNGUCCUGAAGGAACGUUGAAGACGACGACGUUGAUAGGCCGGGUGUGUAAGCGCAGCGAUGCGUUGAGCUAACCGGUACUAAUGAACCGUGAGGCUUAACCUU